GCCUUCGUGGACCAUGGUGGUCGACUCGAAUUCUUUCAACCGCUGCGAAGGAUGUUAACGAGGAGAAGGAGGUUCGAUUCCUCCCGAGGGCA